GAGCACUGUUCCUAACCUGUCAACCUUGCUGUGGUUAGUAGGUUCCGUUCUAGUGCUACAGGAUUCCCAAUGACGUAUGACUGACUGGCUAGCUGGGCUUUCAGUCUCAGGUCUUGGAGACACAC